rnacentral:rRNA from 1 species
AGAGUUUGAUCCUGGCUCAGGACGAACGCUGGCGGCGUGCCUAAUACAUGCAAGUCGAACGCUUCUUUUUCCACCGGAGCUUGCUCCACCGGAAAAAGAGGAGUGGCGAACGGGUGAGUAACACGUGGGUAACCUGCCCAUCAGAAGGGGAUAACACUUGGAAACAGGUGCUAAUACCGUAUAACAAUCGAAACCGCAUGGUUUCGAUUUGAAAGGCGCUUUCGGGUGUCGCUGAUGGAUGGACCCGCGGUGCAUUAGCUAGUUGGUGAGGUAACGGCUCACCAAGGCGACGAUGCAUAGCCGACCUGAGAGGGUGAUCGGCCACAUUGGGACUGAGACACGGCCCAAACUCCUACGGGAGGCAGCAGUAGGGAAUCUUCGGCAAUGGACGAAAGUCUGACCGAGCAACGCCGCGUGAGUGAAGAAGGUUUUCGGAUCGUAAAACUCUGUUGUUAGAGAAGAACAAGGAUGAGAGUAACUGUUCAUCCCUUGACGGUAUCUAACCAGAAAGCCACGGCUAACUACGUGCCAGCAGCCGCGGUAAUACGUAGGUGGCAAGCGUUGUCCGGAUUUAUUGGGCGUAAAGCGAGCGCAGGCGGUUUCUUAAGUCUGAUGUGAAAGCCCCCGGCUCAACCGGGGAGGGUCAUUGGAAACUGGGAGACUUGAGUGCAGAAGAGGAGAGUGGAAUUCCAUGUGUAGCGGUGAAAUGCGUAGAUAUAUGGAGGAACACCAGUGGCGAAGGCGGCUCUCUGGUCUGUAACUGACGCUGAGGCUCGAAAGCGUGGGGAGCAAACAGGAUUAGAUACCCUGGUAGUCCACGCCGUAAACGAUGAGUGCUAAGUGUUGGAGGGUUUCCGCCCUUCAGUGCUGCAGCUAACGCAUUAAGCACUCCGCCUGGGGAGUACGACCGCAAGGUUGAAACUCAAAGGAAUUGACGGGGGCCCGCACAAGCGGUGGAGCAUGUGGUUUAAUUCGAAGCAACGCGAAGAACCUUACCAGGUCUUGACAUCCUUUGACCACUCUAGAGAUAGAGCUUCCCCUUCGGGGGCAAAGUGACAGGUGGUGCAUGGUUGUCGUCAGCUCGUGUCGUGAGAUGUUGGGUUAAGUCCCGCAACGAGCGCAACCCUUAUUGUUAGUUGCCAUCAUUUAGUUGGGCACUCUAGCAAGACUGCCGGUGACAAACCGGAGGAAGGGGGGGAUGACGUCAAAUCAUCAUGCCCCUUAUGACCUGGGCUACACACGUGCUACAAUGGGAAGUACAACGAGUCGCAAAGUCGCGAGGCUAAGCUAAUCUCUUAAAGCUUCUCUCAGUUCGGAUUGUAGGCUGCAACUCGCCUACAUGAAGCCGGAAUCGCUAGUAAUCGCGGAUCAGCACGCCGCGGUGAAUACGUUCCCGGGCCUUGUACACACCGCCCGUCACACCACGAGAGUUUGUAACACCCGAAGUCGGUGAGGUAACCUUUUGGAGCCAGCCGCCUAAGGUGGGAUAGAUGAUUGGGGUGAAGUCGUAACAAGGUAGCCGUAUCGGAAGGUGCGGCUGGAUCACCU